rnacentral:rRNA from 1 species
CAACCUGCCUAUAACUAGGGAAUAACCUUGCGAAAGUAAGACUAAUACCCUAUGAUUUCCUUUGAUGACAUCAGAUUAGGAAUAAAGAUUUAUCGGUUAUAGAUGGGGAUGCGUCUGAUUAGCUUGUUGGCGGGGUAACGGCCCACCAAGGCAACGAUCAGUAGGGGUUCUGAGAGGAAGGUCCCCCACAUUGGAACUGAGACACGGUCCAAACUCCUACGGGAGGCAGCAGUGAGGAAUAUUGGUCAAUGGGCGGAAGCCUGAACCAGCCAAGUAGCGUGCAGGAUGACGGCCCUAUGGGUUGUAAACUGCUUUUAUACAGGAAUAAAGUUAGCCACGUGUGGUUAUUUGUAGGUACUGUAUGGAUAAGGACCGGCUAAUUCCGUGCCAGCAGCCGCGGUAAUACGGAAGGUCCAGGCGUUAUCCGGAUUUAUUGGGUUUAAAGGGAGCGUAGGCCGUCUGUUAAGCGUGUUGUGAAAUGUAGAUGCUCAACAUCUGAAUUGCAGCGCGAACUGGCAGACUUGAGUGUGCGCAACGUAGGCGGAAUUCGUGGUGUAGCGGUGAAAUGCUUAGAUAUCACGAAGAACUCCGAUUG